rnacentral:ncRNA from 1 species
GAUAACAGCGUAAUUUCUUUAAAGAGUCCUAAUCGAAAAAGAAGUUUGCGACCUCGAUGUUGGAUUAAAAUUAAGUUUUGGUGUAGCAGCUAGAAUUUUAGGUCUGUUCGACCUUUAAAAUUUUACAUGAUCUGAGUUUAAACCGGUGUGAGCCAGGUU